GUCAGUUUGGCUGAGUGGUCUAAGGUGCCAGACGCAAGGGUUCCUCCUGCACUACUGGGUAUUCUGGUCUCUGAAUGGAGGUGUGAGUUCAAAUCCCACUUCUGACA